UGCAUCAGCCGGGAAUCGAACCCGGGGACCCGCGUGGCAGACGAGCAUUCUACCACUGAACCAUCGAUGG
rnacentral:tRNA from 1 species